GGGUUGUGAGGUUAAGCGACUAAGCGUACACGGUGGAUGCCCUGGCAGUCAGAGGCGAUGAAGGACGUGCUAAUCUGCGAUAAGCGUCGGUAAGGUGAUAUGAACCGUUAUAACCGGCGAUUUCCGAAUGGGGAAACCCAGUGUGUUUCGACACACUAUCAUUAACUGAAUCCAUAGGUUAAUGAGGCGAACCGGGGGAACUGAAACAUCUAAGUACCCCGAGGAAAAGAAAUCAACCGAGAUUCCCCCAGUAGCGGCGAGCGAACGGGGAGCAGCCCAGAGCCUGAAUCAGUGUGUGUGUUAGUGGAAGCGUCUGGAAAGGCGCGCGAUACAGGGUGACAGCCCCGUACACAAAAAUGCACAUACUGUGAGCUCGAUGAGUAGGGCGGGACACGUGGUAUCCUGUCUGAAUAUGGGGGGACCAUCCUCCAAGGCUAAAUACUCCUGACUGACCGAUAGUGAACCAGUACCGUGAGGGAAAGGCGAAAAGAACCCCGGCGAGGGGAGUGAAAAAGAACCUGAAACCGUGUACGUACAAGCAGUGGGAGCACGCUUAGGCGUGUGACUGCGUACCUUUUGUAUAAUGGGUCAGCGACUUAUAUUCUGUAGCAAGGUUAACCGAAUAGGGGAGCCGAAGGGAAACCGAGUCUUAACUGGGCGUUAAGUUGCAGGGUAUAGACCCGAAACCCGGUGAUCUAGCCAUGGGCAGGUUGAAGGUUGGGUAACACUAACUGGAGGACCGAACCGACUAAUGUUGAAAAAUUAGCGGAUGACUUGUGGCUGGGGGUGAAAGGCCAAUCAAACCGGGAGAUAGCUGGUUCUCCCCGAAAGCUAUUUAGGUAGCGCCUCGUGAAUUCAUCUCCGGGGGUAGAGCACUGUUUCGGCAAGGGGGUCAUCCCGACUUACCAACCCGAUGCAAACUGCGAAUACCGGAGAAUGUUAUCACGGGAGACACACGGCGGGUGCUAACGUCCGUCGUGAAGAGGGAAACAACCCAGACCGCCAGCUAAGGUCCCAAAGUCAUGGUUAAGUGGGAAACGAUGUGGGAAGGCCCAGACAGCCAGGAUGUUGGCUUAGAAGCAGCCAUCAUUUAAAGAAAGCGUAAUAGCUCACUGGUCGAGUCGGCCUGCGCGGAAGAUGUAACGGGGCUAAACCAUGCACCGAAGCUGCGGCAGCGACGCUGAUGCGUUGUUGGGUAGGGGAGCGUUCUGUAAGCCUGUGAAGGUGUGCUGUGAGGCAUGCUGGAGGUAUCAGAAGUGCGAAUGCUGACAUAAGUAACGAUAAAGCGGGUGAAAAGCCCGCUCGCCGGAAGACCAAGGGUUCCUGUCCAAC
rnacentral:rRNA from 1 species